rnacentral:rRNA from 1 species
AUUGAACGCUGGCGGCAGGCCUAACACAUGCAAGUCGAACGAGUGGAGGACGGGUGGGUAAUGUAUGGGAAACUGCCCGAUUGAGGGGGAUAACUACUGGAAACGGUAGCUAAUACCGCCUACCACCGGAUGUGCCCAGGUGGGAUUGGCUAGUAGGUGGGGUAAUGGCGCACCUAGGCGACGCUCCCUAGCUGGUCUGCGAGGCUGACCAGCCACACUGGGACGGGGGCACGGACCAGAAUCCUACGGGAGGCAGAAGGGGGGAAUAUUGAACAAUGGGCGAAAGCCUGAAUCAGCCAUGCCGCGUGUAUGAAGAAGGCCUUCGGGUUGUAAAAUACUUUCAGCGAGGAGUCGUUACUCGCAGAAGAAGCACCGGCUAACUCCGUGCCAGCAGCCGCGGUAAUAC